rnacentral:misc_RNA from 1 species
AAAGCGCGAAAUGUAAUGUGAAUUGCAGAAUUCAGUGAAUCAUCGAAUCUUUGAACGCACCUUGCGCUCUCGGGUUAUUCCUGGGAGCAUGUUCGUUUGAGUGUCGCGUAUCUCUCAACCCCGCCUUUGUAAAAGGUAGACUCAGGGUUGGAUCAUGACGGUUGUCUCUUCAGAAGAAGUAGACUCUGUUGAAAUGCAAGAAGCUGUACCUUUGUACUGGCGGCUUGACCUGUUGUCAUAAGCUCACACUUUCAACAGGGACGCCAAGUCGGGAUGGGCUUACCAUAAAUGUAACUCAUUACUUUGACCUCAAAUCGAGCAGGACUACCCCCUGAACUUAA